AACGAACGCUGGCGGCGUGCCUAACACAUGCAAGUCGAACGGAAAGGUCCUGCUUUUGUGCGCAGCUCGAGUGGCGAACGGGUGAGUAACACGUGAGUAACCUGCCCCUGACUUUGGGAUAACCUCAGGAAACUGGGGCUAAUACCGCAUAGGAGCUCUUGCUGCAUGGUGGGGGUUGGAUAGUUUCGGCGGUUGGGGAUGGACUCGCGGCUUAUCAGCUUGUUGGUGGGGUAGUGGCUUACCAAGGCUUGGCCGGGUAGCCGGCCUGAGGGGGGAACCGGCCACAUUACAACUGAGAUGCGGCCCAGACUCGAACGGGAGGCAAGGGUGCAGAAUAGUACACAGUGCACGGGGGCCAGAUGUGACAAAGCCACGUGCGGGAAGACAGCCUUGGGGUAGGAUUCCAAUGUCGCCUGAGACGAGACGUUAGUGACGGUAAUGGGUGAAUAAGCACCGGCUAACUACGUG
rnacentral:rRNA from 1 species